UGCAUGUACACCUGAGGACGUUCACCAGCAAUUCCAAUCUUGUGAUCAGAGUAACAAUUUUGACAGACAUGUUUGGUCAACCUAAAGGAUUUGCCUAGAUUGAAUUUGUUGAAGUUGAUACUGUUCAAAGUGCUCUACUGUUAAAUGAAUCAGAAUUGCAUGGUCAUCAGAUGAAGGCACAUUUGAUUCCAUAGGUAGAACUAAGUUGCAAGAUGCAUGCAAAGCUGGUUUGGUGACAAUUCAAGGCAAGAACUCAGCUGUGCCCGGAACUGUACUCAUCUAUCAAGCGGAGAAGCAGCUUCAGAUGAGUCUUGCAAGGUAGCCAUUGCAAAAUGAGCCUGUGUUAUGUUUUACCCAACUAACAUCCGAGGCAGUCCAAAAUGAGUCCUUACCCCUGCCGCAAUAGUAAGAAAUGUCCAUGCAACAACUUAGAUUUGACCACCAAGAUGGUUGCUUACAAAAUGGCUUUAGUCAUCAAGCUGACAAAUGAUUUUAUCUCCUCUCUAGGAGACCAUCUCUUAAGUAGAGAUGGUGUGUCUAAGAUCAUUAAGCAUCUCUUCUAAAGACA